ensembl:rRNA 5S_rRNA 5S ribosomal RNA
GCUUACGGCCUUACCGGCCUGAGUACGCCUGAUCUCGUCCGAUCUCGGAAGCUAAGCAGGGUCGGGCCUGGUUAGUACUUGGAUGGGAGCCCGCCUGGGAAUACCAGGUGCUGUAAGCU